rnacentral:pre_miRNA from 1 species
CAUUUACUCCCUCCGUUCUGAAUUACUUGUCGCAAGUAUGGAUGUAUCUAGAUGUAUUUUAGUUCUAAAUACAUCCAUUUCUGCGACGAGUAAUUUGGAACGGAGGGAGUACCUC